rnacentral:tRNA from 5 species
UGGGGAUUAGCCAAGCGGUAAGGCAACGGACUCUGACUCCGUCACCAUAGGUUCAAAUCCUAUAUCCCCAGCCA